rnacentral:rRNA from 1 species
UACGUAGGGUGCGAGCGUUAAUCGGAAUUACUGGGCGUAAAGCGUGCGCAGGCGGUUUGCUAAGACCGAUGUGAAAUCCCCGGGCUUAACCUGGGAACUGCAUUGGUGACUGGCAGGCUAGAGUAUGGCAGAGGGGGGUAGAAUUCCACGUGUAGCAGUGAAAUGCGUAGAUAUGUGGAGGAAUACCGAUGGCGAAGGCAGCCCCCUGGGAUAACACUGACGCUCAUGCACGAAAGCGUGGGGAGCAAACAGG